rnacentral:rRNA from 1 species
UACAGAGGUCCCAAGCGUUGUUCGGAUUCACUGGGCGUAAAGGGUGCGUAGGUGGUGAAGUAAGUCGGAUGUGAAAUCUCGGAGCUCAACUCCGAAACUGCAUUGGAAACUACUUUGCUCGAGGGUUGGAGGGGGGACUGGAAUUCUCGGUGUAGCAGUGAAAUGCGUAGAUAUCAGGAGGAACACCUGUGGCGAAAGCGGCGCACUGGACCAACACUGACGCUGAGGAGCGAAAGCCAGGGGAGCAAACGGG